rnacentral:rRNA from 1 species
AAAACAUCGCUCCUUGCUUACAGCAUACAUAAGGAGUAGGACCUGCCCGGUGAAAUUUUUAACGGCUGCGGUACUCUGACCGUGCAAAGGUAGCAUAAUCAUUUGCCUUGUAAUUUAAGGCUAGUAUGAAUGGUUUGACAAGGACAUAGCUGUCUCUUUAUAAUUAAACAGAAUUUUAUUUGUAGGUCAAAAAGCCUAUAUUAAAUUAAAAGACAAGAAGACCCUGUCGAGCUUGAAAAAAACUGGUAGGAUAAUUGAUUAAUAGGGUUAGAAAAUUAACUACUGGAAAUUUUAGUUGGGGCGCCUGGGAAGCAGGGAAAGCCAUCUCUAGAGUCAAAAACUAGACAAGUGUCGAUACAAAAUAUUUUGAUUAGAGGAAUUAGUUACCGCAGGGAUAACAGCAUUAUCUUUUUUGAGAGUUCCUAUCGAAAAAAAGGUUUGUGACCUCGAUGUUGGAUCAGGAUACCCUAAAGAUGCAGGAGUCUUUAAGGUUGGUCUGUUCGCCCAAUAAAAUCCUACGUGAUCUGAG